rnacentral:rRNA from 1 species
UACGUAGGGGGCGAGCGUUAUCCGGAUUUACUGGGCGUAAAGAGCGCGUAGGCGGCUGGCCAAGCGUGAUGUGAAAUCUUCGGGCUUAACCCGAAAACUGCAUUGCGAACUGGUCUGGCUAGAGUGUGUGAGAGGGUGGUGGAAUUCCCGGUGUAGUGGUGAAAUGCGUAGAGAUCGGGAGGAACACCCGUGGCGAAGGCGGCCACCUGGGCCGACCCUGACGCUGAGGCGCGAAGGCGUGGGGAGCGAACGGG